rnacentral:rRNA from 1 species
AUGGCUGGUGUUCUAACGUAGACCCGUAAUCCGGGUUGCGGACAGUGUCUGGUGGGUAGUUUGACUGGGGCGGUCUCCUCCCAAAGAGUAACGGAGGAGCACGAAGGUUGGCUAAUCCUGGUCGGACAUCAGGAGGUUAGUGCAAUGGCAUAAGCCAGCUUGACUGCGAGCGUGACGGCGCGAGCAGGUGCGAAAGCAGGUCAUAGUGAUCCGGUGGUUCUGAAUGGAAGGGCCAUCGCUCAACGGAUAAAAGGUACUCCGGGGAUAACAGGCUGAUACCGCCCAAGAGUUCAUAUCGACGGCGGUGUUUGGCACCUCGAUGUCGGCUCAUCACAUCCUGGGGCUGAAGUAGGUCCCAAGGGUAUGGCUGUUCGCCAUUUAAAGUGGUACGCGAGCUGGGUUUAGAACGUCGUGAGACAGUUCGGUCCCUAUCUGCCGUGGGCGCUGGAGAAUUGAGGGGGGCUGCUCCUAGUACGAGAGGACCGGAGUGGACGCAUCACUGGUGUUCGGGUUGUCAUGCCAAUGGCACUGCCCGGUAGCUAAAUGCGGAAGAGAUAAGUGCUGAAAGCAUCUAAGCACGAAACUUGCCCCGAGAUGAGUUCUCCCUGAGACUUUAAGUCUCCUGAAGGAACGUUGAAGACGACGACGUUGAUAGGUCGGGUGUGUAAGCGCAGCGAUGCGUUGAGCUAACCGAUACUAAUGAACCGUGAGGCUUAACCUU